GUGAUAGGCUCUGCUGGGUUUGGUGAGAUGAUGAGGUCUAUCAAUAAGGACAGGUCACAAGCUCUCUCCCCUGCCCUAUGCCAAGUGAUGGAGGGUAUUAGCCAAUAUUACAUGGUACACCGGGCCAAGGUAGAAGAGGGAGGGUUGAUGGAGGAGAAGAUACCAUAAAGGCUGUAAUUAGUUGGUCUCCUCUCAUAAUUUGUAAAUAAUAUUAGAC